rnacentral:ribozyme from 12 species
AAAAAAAAAAAAAAAAAAAACUUAAAAAAAAAAAAACAGUCAAAUUUGUACAACGAUGAAAAACAACAUUUUUUUUUUUUCUUUUUUA